AGUUUGAUCAUGGCUCAGAUUGAACGCUGGCGGGAUGCUUUACAUGCAAAGUCAGACGGCAGCACGGACUUCGGAGGUCUGGUGGCGAGUGGCGAACGGGUGAGUAAUGUAUCGGAACGUGCCUAGUAGCGGGGGAUAACUACGCGAAAGCGUAAUAAUACCGCAUACGCCCUUCAGGGGAAAGCGGGGACCUUCGGGCCUCGCACUAUUAGAAGCGGCCGAUAUCGGAUUAGCUAGUUGGUGGGGUAACGGCUCACAAGGCGACGAUCCGUAGCUGGUUUGAGAGGACGACCAGCCACACUGGGACUGAGACACAGCCCAGACUCCUACGGGAGGCAGCAGUGGGGAAUUUUGGACAAUGGGGGAAACCCUGAUCCAGCCAUCCCGCGUGUGCGAUGAAGGCCUUCGGGUUGUAAAGCACUUCUGGCAGGAAAGAAACGGCACGGGAUAAUACCCCGUGCAACUGACAGCCUGCGAAUAAGCACAUUAACUGCAUUGCCAGCCCAUGAUAAUAGUAGGGUGCAAGCGUUAAUCGGAAUUACUGGGCGUAAAGCGUGCGCAGGCGGUUCGGAAGAAAGAUGUGAAAUCCCAGAGCUUAACUUUGGAACUGCGUUUUUAACUACCGAGCUAGAGUGUGUCAGAGGGAGGUGGAAUUCCGCGAUAGCAGUGAAAUGCGUAGAUAUGCGGAAGUACCGAUGGCGAAGGCAGCCUCGCAGGACUAACACCGGCGCUCAUGCCGAAAGCGUGGGGAGCAAGCCGGGUCGAUACCCUGGUAGUCCACGCCCUAAACACUGAUAUCAACUAGCUGUUACAUUGGGGCCUUCAGGCCUUGGUAGCACCUUCUUGCGUGAAGUUGACCGCCUGGGAAGUACGGUCUUAGGUCCGACUCAAGGUGGCGGGGUUGCACAAGCAGUGGAUGAUGUGGAUUAAUUCGAUGCAACGCGAAAAACCUUACCUACCCUUGACAUGUCUGGAAUCCCGAAGAGAUUUGGGAGUGCUCGCAAGAGAACCGGAACACAGGUGCUGCACCGGCUGCAAUGGUAAUAGGCGUUGAUGAGAUGAUGGGUUCAGUCCGCGAACGCCAUUACAGCAUUCGUUGUCUACAAGGGCACUCUAAUGAGACUGCCGGUGACAAACCGGAGGAAGGUGGGGAUGACGUCAGUCCUCAUGGCCAUAUGGGUAGGGCUUCACACGUCAUACAAUGGUCGGGACAGGGGUCGCCAGCCCGCGGUAAUCACAGAAACCCGAUCGUGUAGUCAGGAUCGCAGUCUGCAACUCGACUGCAUGAAGUCGGAAUCGCUAGUAAUCGCGGAUCAGCAUGUCGCGGUGAAUACGUUCCCGAGGUCUUGUACACACCGCCCGUCCACACCAUGGGAGUGGGUUUACCAGAAGUAGUUAGCCUAACCGUAAGGAGGGCGAUUACCACGGUAGGAUUCAUGACUGGGGUGAAGUCGUAACAAGGUAG
rnacentral:rRNA from 1 species